GCUUAAAAUUUCCGACCUGAAGGUCAUUUAUGUCAUGAUUUGAUCUCGUUUUUUCCCCCGAAGCCCAGUUGUGUUGAAAGUGCCCUUAUGCUUGAGCCCUGCCCCGCGAGAGAUGACUGUUGCUAAGGACGCAUUUCCAAAGCAAGAUGGCUGCUGUCAAAAAACAAAUAAGAAACUCUCGCUACUACGUCGGAGGAGUAACAAAUCUUACCCGUAACGGUUUUGGCGUGUAUGUGUAUCCAAACAGCUUUUUUCGCUAUGAGGGAGAGUGGAGCAAGGGCGAAAAACACGGGCAUGGAAAACUCUUGAUGAAAGAUGGAAGUUACUACGAGGGAGAGUUUGCUCAUGGGGAAAUAGAGGGGAAUGGGUCAAGGUUCUGGGCAAAAACAGGUGUAUCCUAUUCUGGCCAGUUCAGUGGAGGGGAGCUUCAUGGCUGUGGUGUGAUGCAGAAAGGCAAUGGAGAGAGAUACAAGGGAGAGUUCUCCUACGGACUCCGAGAUGGCAAUGGGUUUCUGUUGGAUAAGGAUGGACAAACGUACGAGGGAUCGUUUCACCAAAACAAGCGGCAUGGUGAAGGACAAAUGCAUUACAGGAAUGGGGAUCAAUAUGAAGGAGGUUGGCUUCUGGACCUACAACAAGGCCACGGAGUGAUGCGCUUUGGGGAUGGAUCGGUGUACGAGGGUCAAUGGCGUAAUAACCUCUUCAACGGCCAGGGGACCAUGAUCCACUGUUCUGGGAUUAUCUAUGAAGGGUUGUGGACCAACGGCAGACCGCUAGGUGGCGCUUCGAAAGUCGUAAUAGAGGGAGGAGAUGUCUUGGAGGUCUUCCAAGAGACUCCAUUUUGUGUGGAAGUGCAACUGCAGACGGAGGCGGGAGAGAAGGCAACGGGUGAAAAUGGCAGAGUCUUACAAAUAUCCACUGCGAUUAGACUCUGUGAUCUCUCCCCGUCAACAACUCCAGUGAGCCUGCUGAAGAUGAUGGAAGACAUCAAGGAAACACCCAUCCCCACACCAUUUGGCUUUCAGGUUGUCAGCUACCCUUUGAUGGAGAGAGCCUUUGGAAGCCAGAUCUUCAUAGACACUGCAGCCCCCCUAGCCGUGGCUGCGGUGGCAGCUAAAUCAGGCUCAGCGCAGGCUGACUCGCCACUGCUUCCCGAGGGCGAGUGGGAGUCUGGAAGCGGAUCAGACGGGCCGCCACUCGUGGGGGGUACCCCCAGCUACCUGGAUGGAAAGGAAGUGCGUGGGGAGCAGAAUCAGUCAGGAGAAGGGGAAUCGACCACCAUCACCGAGUUCUUCUCAGGAGUCUUUGCUGGACAAGAGGAGGACUCCACUCCUCCUCCAGCCAAUCAGAGGGUGGAAGAAGGCCAAGCUAAAUUCAAAAAUCUACUGUUGGCCCCUCCCCCUCAUGACUUCAUCCCUUAUCAGCUGAUGGAUGAGUUGAAGAGAAACAUCAAGAAGCCGUCCAACAGAGCACCAACUGAUAGACCGGUCCUCUCCCAGGACAAGAACUCAGAGCGCAGGUCAAGCACGGGGUCUUGUUUUACCAGCAACACAAAGAAAAGCUCCAUUGACAGCAGGAGUGUGAGGCCAGACCCCUGGCAACAAAGUGGAAAGCAAAUCAAAAAACAAAAAUGAAAGGAAAGUAUAAGGCAAGUGUUUAACAGAUAAUAACAGAGCGGAGCUUCCUACAGCAUUUCCAUUACCCUCUCCUUUCACAGUGUUUCAUAUAUAAAAAUACUCAUAAAUAUAUGGGGGGAUAUGAAAUUAGAUUGGAGACGACCAUGCAGAAACUGAGCACCUGUCUGCCCAUAUCCCUUCUCCUCUGAAGUAACCUGCAUGCUGGAGUUUUAUUUCCAGUGCUGUAGACCUCUGUGGAUGUUUUCCUUGGUCUUUGGGAGCAUUGUGGCGAGGAGCAGGGAACAGGCAGCAGCUCUGUAAUUUUGCGUUCCUCCUGCUUUUGGAACUAAAGAUCCUCUCUCUUCCGUUUCUUUGUAGAUUUAUUUUUCUUAAUGAUAUUUCCAGCCUUGCCUAAGGACACGCUAUCUAAGAUGGAGGAUCAAACACAAUACGAAGUGUGAGAAAUCUCACUCUGCAUUAUGUUUAACUAGCAUAACUAGCAUUUAACUAGCAUACUGUCUGCGUGCACGUUCAACCAAUUGUGAACAUAAAAAGUGACAUUUAGACGUUCCCCUAGUUACUUAUGCAUGGUAUAUGAGUUGUACAUAGUUUAUAUAUACGAAAUAUACAAUGCAAAAUAAUUUGACUUGCACUUUAAGUUAAGAAUAUUCUCCAAACUGUUUUAGAUUUUGCCUUUUAUACCCUCUUACAUGCACGCACCCACACACACAAGACUCUCCUUCAGCAAGUCAUUCAGCCAGUGACGGUGAUAUUUCAUACGUCAGGGGACAUGUGUGGCGGGCCCAUAACUCAGGAAGUGGGGCUUAUGUUCGGGGAGCCUACCCGCUAUAGAUACUAUACCCCCUAAGCUUACAGACCUAAUUCCUCUAUCCCAUAACACUACCUUUGCCGCUGUGUGGAGGCAUGGUAUAUGUCCCAAAUUGCACCCUUUUCACUAGUGCACUUUUUUUUUUACCAGAGCCCUAUGGGGGCUAUAAUAGUGCUCUGGUCAAAAGUAAUACACUACAUAGGGAAUAGGGUGCUAUUUGGGAUGCAACCAUGAUGAAGUGAUAGCCCGGAGGAAGAAUGCCUGCCCCACGGUAAAACGAUCGCCUGGCUGCCACUGCUGCUGAGCUCUCUGUGGACUGGAGCGGUUGGCCAGAGGACAACAGCUGAGGAACCUAUCGGCCUAGAGGGCCAGGGCUCUGAUGUCUUUGUGCCAUAUUAACCCAGCGGAUUUACAGGACACAGUGUGAUGUCAUGGGAUAUGCCCUGUCAGCUGUGAUAGUCCCCUCUCUCUCCGCCUCGCUCUUUCUGGUGAAUAUGUGAUUAUGGUGAAAGAUGUAACCAACCCACCAUUUCAAGGCCAGACCUUACCCCCAGCAUUUGCCCUGCUGCGGUUGUUUCCUGCCAAGACCAAAAGUAAAAACAGCCAGACGG